UGGGGAAUUUUGCACAAUGGGGGAAACCCUGAUGCGGCGACGCCGCGUGAUUUAGAAGGCCUUCGGGUUGUAAAAAUCUUUUGUAUGGGAAGAAAAUGACAGUACCAUACGAAUAAGGACCGGCUAAUUACGUGCCAGCAGCCGCGGUAAUACGUAAGGUCCGAGCGUUGUCCGGAAUCAUUGGGCGUAAAGGGUACGUAGGCGGAUAAGCAAGUUAGAAGUGAAAUCCUAUAGCUCAACUAUAGUAAGCUUUUAAAACUGCUCAUCUUGAGGUAGGGAAGGGAAAGUGGAAUUCCUAGUGUGGCGGUGAAAUGCGCAGAUAUUAGGAGGAAUACCGGUGGCGAAGGCGACUUUCUGGCCAUAUACUGACGCUGAGGUACGAAAGCGUGGGUAGCAAACAGG
rnacentral:rRNA from 1 species